AGUGAACGCUGGCGGUAGGCCUAACACAUGCAAGUCGAACGGCAGCACAGUAAGAGCUUGCUCUUACGGGUGGCGAGUGGCGGACGGGUGAGGAAUACAUCGGAAUCUACUUUUUCGUGGGGGAUAACGUAGGGAAACUUACGCUAAUACCGCAUACGACCUACGGGUGAAAGCAGGGGAUCUUCGGACCUUGCGCGAUUGAAUGAGCCGAUGUCGGAUUAGCUAGUUGGCGGGGUAAAGGCCCACCAAGGCGACGAUCCGUAGCUGGUCUGAGAGGAUGAUCAGCCACACUGGAACUGAGACACGGUCCAGCCUCCUACGGGAGGCAGCAGCGGGGCAUAUUGGACAAUGGGCGGAAGCCUGAUCCAGCCAUACCGCGUGGGUGAAGAAGGCCUUCGGGUUGUAAAGCCCUUUUGUUGGGAAAGAAAAGCAGCAGGUUAAUACCCCGCUGUUCUGACGGUACCCAAAGAAUAAGCACCGGCUAACUUCGUG
rnacentral:rRNA from 1 species